rnacentral:rRNA from 1 species
AUUGAACGCUGGCGGCAUGCCUUACACAUGCGAGUCGAACGGUAACGCGGGGCAACCUGGCGACGAGUGGCGAACGGGUGAGUAACGCAUCGGAACGUGCCCAGUAGUGGGGGAUAGCCCGGCGAAAGCCGGAUUAAUACCGCAUACGACCUACGGGUGAAAGCGGGGGAUCGCAAGACCUCGCGCUAUUGGAGCGGCCGAUGUCAGAUUAGGUAGUUGGUGGGGUAAAGGCCUACCAAGCCUACGAUCUGUAGCUGGUCUGAGAGGACGACCAGCCACACUGGGACUGAGACACGGCCCAGACUCCUACGGGAGGCAGCAGUGGGGAAGUUUGGACAGUGGGGGCAACCCUGAUCCAGCCAUGCCGCGUGCGGGAAGAAGGCCUUCGGGUUGUAAACCGCUUUUGGCAGGAACGAAACGGUGCGGGCGAAUACCCUGUGCUAAUGACGGUACCUGCAGAAUAAGCACCGGCUAACUACGUGCCAGCCGCCGCAGUAACAC